GACGAACGCUGGCGGCGUGCCUAACACAUGCAAGUCGAGCGGAGAAUGCGGACAUGUUUACAUGGAAGUGUUCUUAGCGGCGGACGGGUGAGUAACACGUGGGUAACCUGCCUCAAAGUGGGGGAUAGCCUUCCGAAAGGAAGAUUAAUACCGCAUAAGCCUACAGUACCGCAUGGUACAGCAGGAAAAGGAGCAAUCCGCUUUGAGAUGGACCCGCGGCGCAUUAGCUAGUUGGUGAGGUAACGGCUCACCAAGGCGACGAUGCGUAGCCGACCUGAGAGGGUGAUCGGCCACAUUGGAACUGAGACACGGUCCAGACUCCUACGGGAGGCAGCAGUGGGGAAUAUUGCACAAUGGGCGAAAGCCUGAUGCAGCAACGCCGCGUGAGUGAUGAAGGC
rnacentral:rRNA from 1 species